AGACCACACUCAGAACUGAAGCAUCAAUGAACCAUGCGGAGUAGCAUUUUCUAAAAACCUUAUUAUUGUUUGUCACAUUUUUCUGUCGGACUAUUCUACUAGGUCGACUACCUUACCACUGAACAAGGAUCAAGGUGGAAAUAUAUUAAACCUGUGAGAAACAACUUCUCGAUGGAGACCUCAAUAUGUUACAAAGAUUUAGUUCUUGACACAGCAGGAAUUACGUAUGUGAUGCAUGAGCUAAAAGAGAAGAAAGUUACGGACAGCACCCUUCUUUCCAACCUGGACUUUGCUGAAUGUUUCCUGAGAGAACAUCCUCUACGUAGAUGUUCAAUGUUAUUGGUUAAGGGCAAUGGUUCAUGUGUUCAAAUUGGCGCAAGCCAAUAUGUUUUCAUGGUGAGUUCAGACAGUCAACACAACACCUAUAUCAACCUCCAUAUUAACAACAUUUUUAAAAUAAGUAGCAAGAACAUUUUGGAAAGUCACUUUUUUGGCCACUCUUGUCAGGAUGAGAUCCAAUGCUGUUUUUCCCGAGCUAGAGAAGCAGUUUGUGAAAGUGCUUUGGAAAGACUAACAAUCAAAUGUAACAGGUUUACAAUCGUUUAUAACGAUGACAAGUUAUAUAACCAUAAAACUGUGGAAACUAAGUGUCAGCUUCAGCUUAAGACCAUCACUGUUGAAGGUUUGCUAGAGAAAAAAAUCUGGCUGCAGAAAGAGAAGGCCACUUGUCAUGGUUUGAUAGCAUGUAUAGAUCAUCUGAUCAAGCUAUACCUCACUACAUCUGAUGCUCCAGAUAGCGGUAGAUUCAUUCUACACGCAGACAAAGAAAUAAUUAGAAUUGUUUCUUUGGGCAAUCUACUUAACCAAGAGUAUGUUUUGUUAUGUGAUGACACAGAGGUCUCAAUGUUUCCUCCAACAUGGCAGUAGCUAUAACAGAGCUCAAGAAUGUAAAUACUUUAUCUUCUAAUAUGGUAACUAUUGUUGUGCACGAAAUUGUAUUGCCAAGAGCGGGUUUUUUAUUUCAGCACAACAGACAAAUAAAACCAGUUUAAUCUUAGCAAUAUGAAAACAUUUGAAUUACAUCAAAAUCUGCAUGUGGUCAUGAGACUAAACUCAAAGUUAUUCUAAUUAUAGAUUCAUAACAUUGUGAAUUAUGUGUGUCAUUACUGUAUUUCUGCAUCCUGCUCCUUUCUGCUUACCUAAAAACAGUAUUAAGAUAAAAUAGGUCACUAAAAGGAUAAAUGCAACAAAAUUAUCAUUCUUAUUCAUUUGUUGUUUGUGUUCUUUGGCAUUUGCAGCGUUACUGUUUCUGUCUAAGUUUAUAACACACCCACAGAGAGGACAGAACCAUAAUAAUCAGAAAUAAUAUUCUGUUCUGUUUUAGAAAAAAGUUAUAAUGUUUAAUAUUUUCUCAUACUGUAUUUUAAGCAAUGUAUACUUAUGCAGAAAAUAAUAGCAUUCUGCACCACUGAACACAACAUUUAUAUUUCACUGUUAAUUGUUAAUGAUAGGGAAAAGUAUAAAUAUGAUGUACUGUACUGUAUACUAGCAUUACUGUUAUAAAGAUCACAA